CUUCUACUUUCAUUUUUUCUGUCAUCGUGACUCAACCCCCAAAAUGCGGAAUUUGAGGAUAAUAUGAUUGAUUAGUGUCUACAAACUUGUCUGAGUUGUCACCGCAAUGCUAACCAGUUGGGAGUAGACUAGUUCUUCGCCAAAGCCUGGACCUGACAGUGGGCCGACAGACCACGGGAACAAGAAUAGAACGAAUGUAUUCAGACUGAAAUGGACCAACAAGGGCAACCUGUAUCACAUAGUGGCAGGAUUGGACCAAGCCAAGUGGGAUCUACAAACUCAAGUGGAACACAUAUGACAGGUUGGCCAACAACAUUGUAGCAUGAAGCUUCUUGCAACAGCUUCACUGGCUGACUCUCAUCAGGAUAAAGAGUGACGAAGCAGGAGAGCUGUUCCAGAAAAUCUUUCUCCUCGGAUUCUGCUUCAGUGAUUUUUCUCUGUAGAGAUUGGUGCUGGAUGAGGCAUGCAAGUCCUUGCAGGUUCACUUCAGGUUCUUCUGCAGACUUGACAAAGUUCUGGAUGGACUGGGUCCCCGGACAUGUUGAGGAACCACCAUCUGAGCCUUGGCGAUUUCACAAUAUAGACAGCAGUGCCGUCCUAAGGAUCUUUCUGUGUCUUGUCCAGCUGAGACCAAGUCCAACCUUCAAGUCCAGCAUUUCACCAUCUGGAAUCCGAAUGGAUGUGCCAGUCAUUAGUGAGUCCAGAUCUGAUGCUAGUUUCCGGAACUUUACCUCAUGGGUUAGUUGGGCUGAUGUUGCUCCUCCACUCGUUAAGUCACGAGCCUGCAGCAACGUCUCUGAGCGAUGUCUUAAUGUUGAUGGAGCACAUUGAUCUGAAGAAACUUGGGCUUUGUGCAUAAGCACUGUUACUAGUGGCUUGUUAAAAAAAGACAGAUCAGAUAUGCCAUUAGUUUAUUUUGGCUGAAAAAGGGGGAUGUUGAAUACUUGUCCGUCAAAUUAUAUCAUAUUUUAGUAACAGUGUGGCCAAAUUAGGCGUGGGGGGGGGGUGGUGGUUGCUACAGAAUAUUUUAAAUACAUUCCUGCAUAUAAGGAAAGAACACCCACUGCUAUAUAUUUCUUAUUUUUCUUUUUCUGGGCUGCCAAAGGAGGGGGGGGGGGAGAGGGCAUAUGCAUAACAAAAGGGAGGCUUGAUUUUUAAUCUAUUUAUUACUUGAUCGAGAUAUUUUGGAUGUGUGUUGCAACUUAAUAAAUUUGAACAUACACAUAUUGUAUUGUACACAUUUUUAAAAUUACAGUCCACUUCAAUUAUUAGGAGGAUUUCAGGACCAAGCCAAUUUAUAAACAAAAUUUUGUUUUUCUGAACACAUAGACACAUGUGCGCAGGUUUGAAUUCGGAAUUGGGAAAACUGCCUCGUUUUAAUGAGAUCUUGUUGUAUCAGCGCUCGUUAUGAUUGAAGUAGACUGUAUAUACUUUUCUUGAGAACCUAUCAUGAUCGUAUGAAUAAAAUAUAAAGUGAAAAUCCAUUUUAAGUUAGUUAUGAAACACAUUUUAUUAUAAAAAAUAUAAUUGCUCAGAAAUUUUUAUCCUCGAACAUGUAAUGUAGAUAAUUAAUACAUAUAUAAAGAGAUCUGAUGUAAAGAAAUACCUGAUAUAAAAGCUAAUUUCUAUGGUCAAAAUGAAAUCAAUUUGCUUUGUUUUGUAUUGACUACUGAUAUAACAAGAUACCUGGUACAUGUAAAACAAGCAAACUUUGUCCAGUUCCGAGGACCUCAUUUUGGGAUUUUCCACUGAAGGCUUAUAUUAAUUUAGUGAAUACGCAGAUCUUGUAUGAAUCAUGCAUUAUAAUAAAAUUAGAAUCAUAUUAAUUUUAUGAAUACAUA
rnacentral:lncRNA from 1 species